rnacentral:tRNA from 1 species
GUUUAUAUAAUUUAAGUAAAAUAUUAGACUGUGAC